AGCGAACGCUGGCGGCAGGCCUAACACAUGCAAGUCGAACGAAGUCUUCGGACUUAGUGGCGGACGGGUGAGUAACACGUGGGAACGUACCUUUUGGUUCGGAACAACUCAGGGAAACUUGAGCUAAUACCGGAUGAGCCCUUAGGGGGAAAGAUUUAUCGCCGAAAGAGCGGCCCGCGUUAGAUUAGCUAGUUGGUGAGGUAAAGGCUCACCAAGGCUACGAUCUAUAGCUGGUCUGAGAGGAUGAUCAGCCACACUGGGACGGAGACACGGCCCAGACUCCUACGGGAAGCAGCAGUGGGGAAUCUUGCGCAAUGGGCGAAAGCCUGACGCAGCCAUGCCGCGUGAAUGAUGAAGGUCUUAGGAUUGUAAAAUUCUUUUACCAGGGACGAUAAUGACGGUACCUGGAGAAAAAGCCCCGGCUAACUUCGUGCCAGCAGCCGCCGUAAUAC
rnacentral:rRNA from 1 species